AACGAACGCUGGCGGCAGGCCUAACACAUGCAAGUCGAACGCUCUAGCAAUAGAGAGUGGCAGACGGGUGAGUAACGCGUGGGAACCUUCCCAGUGGUGCGGAAUAGCUCAGGGAAACUUGGGGUAAUACCGCAUGAGCCCGAAAGGGGAAAGGUUUAUCGCCAUUGGAUGGGCCCGCGUAGGAUUAGCUAGUUGGUGAGGUAAUGGCUCACCAAGGCAACGAUCCUUAGCUGGUUUGAGAGAAUGACCAGCCACACUGGGACUGAGACACGGCCCAGACUCCUACGGGAGGCAGCAGUGGGGAAUAUUGGACAAUGGGCGCAAGCCUGAUCCAGCCAUGCCGCGUGAGUGACGAAGGCCUUAGGGUUGUAAAGCUCUUUUGGCGGGGACGAUAAUGACGGUACCCGCAGAAUAAGCCCCGGCUAACUUCGUG
rnacentral:rRNA from 1 species